AGUGAACGCUGGCGGCGUGCCUAAUACAUGCAAGUCGAACGGAGUGGCGCACGGGUGGGUAAUGUAUAGCUAAUCUGCCCUACACUAGAGGACAACAGUUGGAAACGACUGCUAAUACUCUAUAGUGGGGGAUGAGGCUAUAUUGUAUCAGCUAGUUGGUUAGUUAAUUGCUCACCAAGGCUAUGACGCAUAACUGGUCUGAGAGGAUGAUCAGCAAACUUGGAAGUGAGACACGGUUCGGACUCCUACGGGAGGCAGCAGUAGGGAAUAGGGCUCAAUGGGGGAAACCCUGAAGCAGCAACGGCGCGUGGAGGAUGACACUUUGCGGAGCGUAAACUCCGUUUGUUAGGGAAGCGGUACCUAACGAAUAAGCACCGGCUAACUCCGUGCCAGCAGCCGCGGUAAUUC
rnacentral:rRNA from 1 species